rnacentral:rRNA from 1 species
AUUGAACGCUGGCGGCAGGCCUAACACAUGCAAGUCGAGCGGAUGAAGGGAGCUUGCUCCUGGAUUCAGCGGCGGACGGGUGAGUAAUGCCUAGGAAUCUGCCUGGUAGUGGGGGAUAACGUCCGGAAACGGGCGCUAAUACCGCAUACGUCCUGAGGGAGAAAGUGGGGGAUCUUCGGACCUCACGCUAUCAGAUGAGCCUAGGUCGGAUUAGCUAGUUGGUGGGGUAAAGGCCUACCAAGGCGACGAUCCGUAACUGGUCUGAGAGGAUGAUCAGUCACACGGGAACUGAGACACGGUCCAGACUCCUACGGGAGGCAGCAGUGGGGAAUAUUGGACAAGGGGCGAAAGCCUGAUCCAGCCAUGCCGCGUGUGUGAAGAAGGUCUUCGGAUUGUAAAGCACUUUAAGUUGGGAGGAAGGGCAGUAAGUUAAUACCUUGCUGUUUUGACGUUACCAACAGAAUAAGCACCGGCUAACUUCGUG